GCGAGGUAGAACUGCAAAAAGCAACCUGUUUCUUAUUCUAGGUUGUCUAAUUUACAACGGUAAAUACUUGUGCAGCUGCUCUGAUGGGUGCACUCGGAGCAAUGAGCCGUGCUGCUGCAGUGAAAGAAUAUGCAAAAACAAGGUGAUGAAAUCCACAACAGUUUGCUUACCCAAGGUCCAAGACAAACUCAUUGGAACUUCAAAACUAAAUGGAACCAUCUGGGAUUUAAACAAAAUUAAACAGCUUGAAACUGCCUUUCAAGAACUUCAUGGUUUUCAACACUUGAACAUUACUGGUCUGAGGUAUUGUACUGAAUAAAAAGGUUAUAUUUAUUAAAAUAGAAAUGUUAGUAUUGAUACAUAUCGAACUGUUUGUUUUAAUACAGAAUUGGUGAAUUAGUAUCAAAUAUCAAUAUUGUCGCUGUCUGAAGAAUGUAACAAAAAGCAAUUGUCUCUGUAUAUCUAAACAUCUUAUUUUUACAAAUACGUAAAUCUAUAGAAAUAAUUAAAAAUCUAUCAUGAUUUCUGAAAUUGUAUUAAUUUUUUUGUAAGUCUAAUGUGCAAAGACUUCUGUCAUCAUCUUU